ACCGACAGCACUGAGCCCUUUGACAGUGCUGGGUGGCUGGGGCCCACGGUGCUCUGGGGCUGUCCCUCCAACCAGGAAAUCUUCAGAGGGUUAUCCACCAGGCCAACUUCAUUCUGGACAGCCAGCUCCGCAGCCUUGGCAGUCGCAAACUCCACCACAGCAGUGCCUACCUUCUUACUGGAAAGCACCAGAAUGACUACAGGCAAACUGAAAAAUUCUGACAAAGGUGUGGAGCCACAGGGAGUUUCAUACAUUGCUGGUUAAAAUAGAAAAAUGCAUAACCACGUUGCAGGACUGUUGGAGUGUUUCUUGAAUAGAAAUUCUUACUAUAGUACUUUAGGGAGCAAAAUCCACAUCAGAAAUUUAUAUAAUACCAAAAUGGAUGACUUCCAGCAGUAAGAGAAUACUCUAUUUCCAGCCAUCAUCCUUUGAAGAAACUCAGGCAGCCUACAGACAAGCAUGUGGAGAGGAAGCAAAACCCCCAGUUUCCAGUCCCAGCGGAAGUGCCUGGUGACCUUCAGCCCUAUUUGACAGCCAUAUGAUUGAGCCAUCUCAAAAGUAGAUGUUCCGGGCCUCAGUUGAAUGACAGCAGCUGAUGCCACCUGCAUCAGGGAUUUUCUGUCCCUACCAAGCUCUUUCCAAUUGCAUUUUUGUGAGCAAAAUAACUCAUUUUUAUGAGUUUAAAGUGCAAAAUUUUGAGGUGCAUUGUUAUGUAGUGAUAGAUAACAAGAUCAUUAUCCCAGCAUCCUAAAAUACUCAAUAAAAAGAGAGGAGCUUUCGAGGAAGACUUCUCAAAUAUCUG